rnacentral:lncRNA from 1 species
UGGGGGGCCCUGCUUUGGGCCCGGGGGCUCUGCAGGCCUCACCCUGGGGCACUUGCCCUCCCGCAGGUUCGGGGAGGCCCUGGCCCGCACCCGCACUAGCCCCCUCUCCCGGGAGCAGCCCCACCUCCUCGGAGCAGGGGGCCGGACUGUGCUAUUUCUGUCCUUUCUGGGAUUCUUCUGAGAACAGGCUCUUGUUUUCGGUCCGAUUCCCGAUUCCGAUGUGAAACUUUUCCCGGGGCCUCCCGCCCUUGCUGGCUGCCUGUCUGGUCUCCCUCUCCUUCCCCGGAGGAGCAGUAGCUGGGUCCUGGGAGAUCAAGCUGGGCCCAGGAGGGGCCCUUCCCUGCAGGGGCCCUGGGGCCCCGGGCGGAUUUGGGUGCUCUGGAGUAGGACGCUUUGAUUCCCAUGGCAAACCCUGUUCCUGUGCAGAGGAGCCACCUCCAGGGCCCCAUCCUCAGAUUUCAACAGGAGCCAUAAAAGAGCGGGGUCUCGGGGUGGAGGCUGCGGAGACGCGGAGGGAGGCUGUGUGGGAGGAAGGCUCCACGGCCUCGUUCUUCCCCGCGGGCUCUCCGUUAGGGUUGCGGAGACCCUGCCUCAGAGAUCUCUGGUGAGCUCAGGGAGAUAGCCCCCCUCCCCGCCAGUCUCCCUCCCUCCCUUUUANAAACAAGCCACUGUCCUACCAUAGGCUGCUCAGGUCUCCCGUGGGCUCAGCACUGCUUGGGGGCAGACAACGGAGUAGGGAGCGGCGACCGAGGGGCCCCCGCCUCGCUCCGAGGGGCUUACAGCCUCCAGCCCCUCGGUCCCUCACCUGUCGUGUGCAGUUAGGCCCCUCGGCCCCUCACCUGUUGUGUGCAGUUAGGUCCCUUGGCCCCUUACCUGUCGUGUGCAGUUAGGCCCCAGCGGUGUGAGCGCCGGGCUUGCUGGCGACCAGGACAGCCACGUUGUGUGACCUUGGGCCAGUCCCUUAACCUCCCUCCUCGGGUGGAGGAGAGAUCCUGGCCAUUUUCAUCAUCCUGCUCCCCCGUUCGGGGGCUUCCUCAUCUCGAGUCUCCAGCCACGCU